UACGUAGGGUGCAAGCGUUAUUCGGAAUUACUGGGCGUAAAGCGUACGCAGGCGGCUUUGCAAGACAGAUGUGAAAUCCCCGGGCUCAACCUGGGAACUGCAUUUGAUACUGGGUUGCUUGAGUUCGGGAGAGGAUAGCGGAAUUCCCAGUGUAGAGGUGAAAUUCGUAGAUAUUGGGAAGAACACCGGUGGCGAAGGCGGCUAUCUGGACCGACAUUGACGCUGAGGCGCGAAAGCGUGGGGAGCAAACAGG
rnacentral:rRNA from 1 species